rnacentral:rRNA from 1 species
UUUGUGAACCAAACUUGUUGCUUCGGGGGCGACCCUGCCGACGACCUCGUCGCCGGGCGCCCCCGGAGGUCUUCUAAACACUGCAUCUUUGCGUCGGAGUUUAAAACAAAUUAAACAAAACUUUCAACAACGGAUCUCUUGGUUCUGGCAUCGAUGAAGAACGCAGCGAAAUGCGAUAAGUAAUGUGAAUUGCAGAAUUCAGUGAAUCAUCGAAUCUUUGAACGCACAUUGCGCCCUUUGGUAUUCCGAAGGGCAUGCCUGUUCGAGCGUCAUUUCACCACUCAAGCCUGGCUUGGUAUUGGGCGUCGCGGUUUUCCGCGCGCCUUAAAGUCUUCCGGCUGAGCUGUCCGUCUCUAAGCGUUGUGGAUUUUUCAAUUCGCUUCGGAGUGCGGAUGGCCGCGGCCGUUAAAUCUUUAUUCAAAGGUUGACCUCGGAUCAGGUAGGGAUACCCGCUGAACUUAAGCAUAUCAAU